rnacentral:rRNA from 1 species
UACGUAGGGUGCAAGCGUUAAUCGGAAUUACUGGGCGUAAAGCGUGCGCAGGCGGUUUUGUAAGACUGGUGUGAAAUCCCCGGGCUUAACCUGGGAAUGGCGAUGGUGACUGCAAGGCUAGAGUUUGGCAGAGGGGGGUAGAAUUCCACGUGUAGCAGUGAAAUGCGUAGAGAUGUGGAGGAACACCGAUGGCGAAGGCAGCCCCCUGGGUCAAAACUGACGCUCAUGCACGAAAGCGUGGGGAGCAAACAGG